GCCAGCAGUGAUGGCAAGUUGAAUGCACCAGUUGAACCAGUUCCAAAUAGAUCACUGAAGUUAAGCAACGUUGCGCGGUUAGGAAUGUUAGGAUGGAUGACCAUCUGGUCAGUCGAGUGCUGCUGGCU
rnacentral:rRNA from 1 species